AGUUUGUGGGAGAGUUGGGUUGAACACAGGUUGGACCAGUAUUCCAGAUAUUCCAGAGUGUCAGCUUGAGGUGGGAGGAAAUCCCCCAGUGAUCAA